UACAGAGGGUGCGAGCGUUAAUCGGAAUUACUGGGCGUAAAGGGCGCGUAGGCGGAUAUGCAAGUGAGAUGUGAAAUACCCGGGCUUAACCUGGGAACUGCAUCUUAAACUGCAAGUCUAGAGUACUGUAGAGGAUAGUGGAAUUUCCGGUGUAGCGGUGAAAUGCGUAGAGAUCGGAAGGAACAUCAGUGGCGAAGGCGACUGUCUGGACAGAUACUGACGCUGAGGCGCGAAAGCGUGGGGAGCAAACAGG
rnacentral:rRNA from 1 species